rnacentral:rRNA from 1 species
GACGAACGCUGGCGGCGUGCUUAACACAUGCAAGUCGAACGGAAAGGCCCUGCUUUUGUGGGGUGCUCGAGUGGCGAACGGGUGAGUAACACGUGAGUAACCUGCCCUUGACUUUGGGAUAACUUCAGGAAACUGGGGCUAAUACCGGAUAGGAGCUCCUGCUGCAUGGUGGGGGUUGGAAAGUUUCGGCGGUUGGGGAUGGACUCGCGGCUUAUCAGCUUGUUGGUGGGGUAGUGGCUUACCAAGGCUUUGACGGGUAGCCGGCCUGAGAGGGUGACCGGCCACAUUGGGACUGAGAUACGGCCCAGACUCCUACGGGAGGCAGCAGUGGGGAAUAUUGCACAAUGGGCGGAAGCCUGAUGCAGCAACGCCGCGUGCGGGAUGACGGCCUUCGGGUUGUAAACCGCUUUCGCCUGUGACGAAGCGUGAGUGACGGUAAUGGGUAAAGAAGCACCGGCUAACUACGUGCCAGCAGCCGCGGUGAUACGUAGGGUGCGAGCGUUGUCCGGAUUUAUUGGGCGUAAAGGGCUUCGUAGGUGGUUGAUCGCGUCGAAAGUGUAAUCUGGGGGGCUUAACCCUGAGCGUGCUUUCGAUACGGGGUUGACUUGAGAAGGGUAGGGGAGAAUGAAAUUCCUGGUGGAGCGGUGGAAUGCGCAGAUAUCAGGAGGAACACCAGUGGCGAAGGCGGUUCUCUGGGCCUUUCCUGACGCUGAGGAGCGAAAGCGUGGGGAGCGAACAGGCUUAGAUACCCUGGUAGUCCACGCUGUAAACGGUGGGUACUAGGUGUGGGGUCCAUUCCACGGGUUCCGUGCCGUAGCUAACGCUUUAAGUACCCCGCCUGGGGAGUACGGCCGCAAGGCUAAAACUCAAAGGAAUUGACGGGGCCCCGCACAAGCGGCGGAGCAUGCGGAUUAAUUCGAUGCAACGCGUAGAACCUUACCUGGGUUUGACAUGGAUCGGGAGUGCUCAGAGAUGGGUGUGCCUCUUUUGGGGUCGGUUCACAGGUGGUGCAUGCCUGUCGUCAGCUCGUGUCGUGAGAUGUUGGGUUAAGUCCCGCAACGAGCGCAACCCUUGUUCACUGUUGCCAGCACGUUAUGGUGGGGACUCAGUGGAGACCGCCGGGGUCAACUCGGAGGAAGGUGGGGAUGACGUCAAGUCAUCAUGCCCCUUAUGUCCAGGGCUUCACGCAUGCUACAAUGGCUGGUACAGAGAGUGGCGAGCCUGUGAGGGUGAGCGAAUCUCGGAAAGCCGGUCUCAGUUCGGAUUGGGGUCUGCAACUCGACCUCAUGAAGUCGGAGUCGCUAGUAAUCGCAGAUCAGCAACGCUGCGGUGAAUACGUUCCCGGGGCU